rnacentral:rRNA from 1 species
CCUACGGGAGGCAGCAGUAGGGAAUUUUCGGCAAUGGGGGGAACCCUGACCGAGCAACGCCGCGUGAACGAAGAAGUUAUUCGUAAUGUAAAGUUCUUUUAACAGGGAAGAAAGAGAAAUUUGACGGUACCUGAAGAAUAAGCUCCGGCUAACUACGUGCCAGCAGCUGCGGUAAUACGAAGAGAGGGAGCGUUAUCGGGAAUUAUUGGGCGUAAAGGGUGCGUAGAGGGCAUAGUAGGUAUUUUGUAAAAAUUCUGGGCUAAACCCAGUAGGGCAAAAGAAACUUCAAAGCUAGAGUAUGACAGAGGCAAGUGGAACUACAUGUGUAGCGGUAAAAUGCGUAAAUAUAUGUAAGAACACCAGUGGCGAAGGUGGCUUGCUGGGUGGAUACUGACAUUGAGGCACGAAAGCGUGGGGAGCAAACAGGAUUAGAUACCCCAGUAGUC